rnacentral:rRNA from 1 species
GAUGAACGCUGGCAGCGUGCCUAAUACAUGCAAGUCGAGCGAAUGGAUUAAGAGCUUGCUCUUAUGAAGUUAGCGGCGGACGGGUGAGUAACACGUGGGUAACCUGCCCAUAAGACUGGGAUAACUCCGGGAAACCGGGGCUAAUACCGGAUAACAUUUUGAACCGCAUGGUUCGAAAUUGAAAGGCGGCUUCGGCUGUCACUUAUGGAUGGACCCGCGUCGCAUUAGCUAGUUGGUGAGGUAACGGCUCACCAAGGCAACGAUGCGUAGCCGACCCGAGAGGGUGAUCGGCCACACUGGGACUGAGACACGGCCCAGACUCCUACGGGGGGCAGCAGUAGGGAAUCUUCCGCAAUGGACGAAAGUCUGACGGAGCAACGCCGCGUGAGUGAUGAAGGCUUUCGGGUCGUAAAACUCUGUUGUUAGGGAAGAACAAGUGCUAGUUGAAUAAGCUGACACCUUGACGGUACCUAACCAGAAAGCCACGGCUAACUACGUGCCAGCAGCCGCCGUAA